GACGAACGCUGGCGGCGUGCUUAACACAUGCAAGUCGAACGGUAAGGCCCUUCGGGGGUACACGAGUGGCGAACGGGUGAGUAACACGUGGGUGAUCUGCCCUGCACUUCGGGAUAAGCCUGGGAAACUGGGUCUAAUACCGGAUAGGACCACUGCCUGCAUCGGAGGUGGUGGAAAGGUUUUGCGGUGUGGGAUGGGCCCGCGGGCUAGCAGCUUGUGGGUGGGGGGGUGGCCUACCAAGGCGACGGCGGGUAGCCGGCCCGAGAGGGUGACCGGCCACACUGGGACUGAGAUACGGCCCAGACUCCUACGGGAGGAAGCAGUGGGGAAUAUUGCACAAUGGGGGCAAGCCUGAUGCAGCGACGCCGCGUGAGGGAUGACGGCCUUCGGGUUGUAAACCUCUUUCAGCACCGACGAAGCGCAAGUGACGGUAGGUGCAGAAGAAGGACCGGCCAACUACGUGCCAGCCGCCGCGGUAA
rnacentral:rRNA from 1 species